AGUGCUCUGGAAUUUGUUUUCCUGCUUAGUACCUAAAAUAGUAACAUGACAUAAAGAACCUUUUAUUAACACAACAAUGAUAUUUUAAAAAGGAAGAAUAAUAAUUUCCAAGAAAAAGUACAGGAAUUUAUUUUAUGUCUUUUUGAAUUUAGACAGAGAAUUAUUUCAUAGACAUCAUUUAGACAAAGUUAGACUGGCCUGAAUUUAACUGCAGGUCCUGAGACUUAUUAUUAAGGUCAUAUUUGCCAAUGUCUGGUGAGAAAUAGACUGGGAAGAUGAAAAGCAUCAAAAGAUUUCUAAGGGCUACCAAGAUUAUUGAGGGGAUACUGAAGAACAUGUUUUUUAUUUAAAUAUUUCCUAGGACUGACCUUCACUCUUUUUUCAGUGAAUCUACCAUUAAAAAGGGUACCUCAUCUAUUACACUCAGGAGCAGCUACAGCUAGAGUCACCAAGAAGGGUCGCUGACAUGGUAGUUGAUGCUAGCAGGUCAGCUGGGAGGUCAGCUGCGGCUUUCUGGCAGAGUAUCUACAUGUGGUCUCUCUCUCAAGGUGACUUGGACUUCAAACAGGAUGGUACCCAUGUCCCACUGGAGAACAACUCAAGCAUCAAUAUUCCAAAAUUUGUGAUGCUUCAAGAUUGAUUGAGGAUCAAUCACAGUUUCCCAGAACUGGAAAGGUCCUACUUUUCCCCUGCUCUACUUGUUAAGCUGCCUCCACAGCCUGCUCAUGUUCAAGGGCCUGGAGAAAUAAAAUGUUUCUUCAUGAAAGCAUGGCAAUGUCACAUUGCAGAAGUGCAUGUGGGAAUAAACAUAUUGUUGUGGCCAACUUUGGAAAAUAUAAAUUCUCAAAAUCACUUUGGAAAGGGUUUCUCUUUUGACAGAAAUCAAAAGGUAACCAUCUAAAAGCACUUCUCCUUUCAUUCUGGGCACAGAGCUGGAUAAUAUUUCUAAUUUCUGUAACUCUUAGGAAUGGCUAUAUCACUUACAUUUAGCCAAUGGAAUGCACACACAAAUGUGUAUUCCACCCCCUGGUCUGAGCCAUAGUUCUCCGCAGUGAUAUCCCUCAUAUUAUUUCUCUUUUCACUUUACUAUUGUGACAAUGCCUAGGGAAACCUAGGGAGGCAUAUGUUAAAGUUGGCAGAAUUUCUGUGACCCUGAGUCUAAUUUGAUCCUCAAUGACUUUCAUCCCUGUGUUGAGUGUGAGCAAAAUCUAUCAAUAGGAUGAGAUAGUACUUCCAUGAGUACGUUAUAGUUUAUAGCAAAUGAGAUUUUUACAGUGUAAUUAGAGUUGGAAAUCACUGCUUUUUAACUGUGUCAAAUGAGUCAUUAAACUUGUCCUCUGUGUAA
rnacentral:lncRNA from 1 species